rnacentral:rRNA from 1 species
AGGAUGAACGUUGGCGGCGUGCCUAACACAUGCAAGUCGAACGCUAGUAGCAAUAUUAGAGUGGCGCACGGGUGAGUAACACGUAGCUUACCCACCUCCCAGCGCGGGAUAACGGUUCGAAAGAACUGCUAAUACCGCAUAAGCUCACGGCCUGUAGAGGGCUGCGAGAAAAGGCGCAAGUCACUGGGAGACGGGGGCUGCGGCCCAUCAGCUCGUUGGUGAGGAACGGCUUACCAAGGCGACGACGGGUAGGGGACCUGAGAGGGUCGACCCCCCANACUGGGACUGAGACACGGCCCAGACUCCUACGGGAGGCAGCAGUGA